rnacentral:lncRNA from 10 species
UGGAAAGUAAAAAAUUUGCUCAAUAUUAUGUCCUUACUCAAGGACUAAAGGAUAUAAUCUUAUUAGCUGAGAGUUUGUUAUAUGCUGACAUUGAGUUAAGGUAUUUGAAUGCAUUUUUUUGUUUAGUCUUCACAAUAACCCUAUGAAAUAGAUGAUAAUAAUCUUUUUUUUUUUUUUUUUUGGGGGUGGGGGGACAGGAUCUCACUCUGUCACCCAGGCUGGAGUAUAGUGGUACAAUCUUGGCUCAAAGCAGCCUUGACCUCAUGGGCUCAGGCAAUCCUCCCAUCUCAGACCAAGAAGCUGGGAGUACAGGUGUGUGCCACCAUGUCCCACUAAUUUCAUUUUUUGUAGAGACAAAGUCUCACCAUGUUCCCCAGGCUGGUCUCAAACUCCUGGGCUCAAGAGAUCCUCUCACUUUGGCCUCCAAGUGCUAGGAUUACCGGUGUAAGCCACCAUGCCCAGACCCAUCUCUGUCUUUUCAGAUGAAGAAAUGCUGAAGCUUAGAGCAUUAAGCAACCCAGCCAGGGUCACACAGUUGAUAAACAGUGGCGCCAGUCCCUUUACUGACAUUAAAAGGAUGGAUAAACCAUGCCAGGAAGCUAACUGUAGGUUGCUGAAGCAAUGAGGCCCUCUGGCCAUUUUGAAAGCAUUGUUGCCUCACAAAUGCUGUGACGACAUUGAUACCAGGCUAGCUGAGUCUUAACACCUCACUCCAUUCUGGAAUUACAGCUUCCUAGUGUGUCUGAGGAAAUCCAAUCUCUCCCACUCCAGCCCGCCUACUCAUUGAACAUGGCUGCUAUCUCUGUCUUCUGGAAACACGGCUCCAAUCCUGCAACAACUCUAUACAAGAGCUCCCAGUGGUUCUUAACCUUGGCUGAGCAACAGACCCAUUU